AUCGCUUCUCGGCCUUUUGGCUAAGAUCAAGUGUAGAACUUACAAUGUGAUUACAUCCUGUUUUUCUAUUAUAUGUAUGUAUAUGUGUGUGUAUAUAUGUAUGUAUAUAUAUGUGUGUGUGUGUGUGUGUGUGUGUGUGUGUAUACAUUUCCCAAGAACCCACAUACAUCGUAA
ensembl:snRNA LOC120094532 U2 spliceosomal RNA